GACGAACGCUGGCGGCGUGCCUAAUACUUGCAAGUAGAACGCUGAAGGAGGAGCUUGCUCUUCUGGAUGAGUUGCGAACGGGUGAGUAACGCGUAGGUAACCUGCCUGGUAGCGGGGGAUAACUAUUGGAAACGAUAGCUAAUACCGCAUAAGAGUAGAUGUUGCAUGACAUUUACUUAAAAGGUGCAAUUGCAUCACUACCAGAUGGACCUGCGUUGUAUUAGCUAGUUGGUGGGGUAACGGCUUACCAAGGCGACGAUACAUAGCCGACCUGAGAGGGUGAUCGGCCACACUGGGACUGAGACACGGCCCAGACUCCUACGGGAGGCAGCAGUAGGGAAUCUUCGGCAAUGGACGGAAGUCUGACCGAGCAACGCCGCGUGAGUGAAGAAGGUUUUCGGAUCGUAAAGCUCUGUUGUAAGAGAAGAACGAGUGUGAGAGUGGAAAGUUCACACUGUGACGGUAUCUUACCAGAAAGGGACGGCUAACUACGUG
rnacentral:rRNA from 1 species